UACGAAGGGGGCUAGCGUUGCUCGGAAUUACUGGGCGUAAAGCGCACGUAGGCGGCUUUCUAAGUCGGGGGUGAAAUCCUGGAGCUCAACUCCAGAAUUGCCUUCGAUACUGGAAAGCUCGAGUCCGGGAGAGGUGAGUGGAACUGCGAGUGUAGAGGUGAAAUUCGUAGAUAUUCGCAAGAACACCAGUGGCGAAGGCGGCUCACUGGCCCGGUACUGACGCUGAGGUGCGAAAGCGUGGGGAGCAAACAGG
rnacentral:rRNA from 1 species